rnacentral:rRNA from 1 species
AUUGAACGCUGGCGGCAUGCCUUACACAUGCAAGUCGAACGGCAGCACGGGUGCUUGCACCUGGUGGCGAGUGGCGAACGGGUGAGUAAUACAUCGGAACAUGUCCUGUAGUGGGGGAUAGCCCGGCGAAAGCCGGAUUAAUACCGCAUACGAACUACGGAUAAAAGCGGGGGACCUUCGGGCCUCGCGCUUUAGGGUUGGCCGAUGGCUGAUUAGCUAGUUGGUGGGGUAAAGGCCUACCAAGGCGACGAUCAGUAGCUGGUCUGAGAGGACGACCAGCCACACUGGGACUGAGACACGGCCCAGACUCCUACGGGAGGCAGCAGUGGGGAAUUUUGGACAAUGGGCGAAAGCCUGAUCCAGCAAUGCCGCGUGUGUGAAGAAGGCCUUCGGGUUGUAAAGCACUUUUGUCCGGAAAGAAAUCCUUGGCCCUAAUACGGUCGGGGGAUGACGGUACCGGAAGAAUAAGCACCGGCUAACUACGUG